rnacentral:rRNA from 1 species
AUGACUAUAGUCAGUCCUGUAUCAUUCAACAUUCCCAAACAUACAUUCAGUUUCACACAAGAAGGAAAUCAGACUGUUACUACUGCAAUUUUCAAUACUUCCCAACCAGUUAAGGAAGUACCAGCAGAAAAGAUGGAGCUAUUAGAUAAAGGAGUAGAAAGUCUCCUCUUACAAGUGCACAACAUAUUAAUGGAAGCACCAGAAGGCACACAAACUCCUCCUCAAAUCCAAAAGUUACUGCUAGAGUAUGCUGAUCUGUUUGAAGAGCCCAAGUCAUUACCACCUGAAAGGGCUCUGGACCACACUAUUCCCUUAGUUCCUGGUGCAACUCCACCUCAUGUGAGACCUUAUAGAGUUCCUCAACACCAGAAACAAGAGAUGGAAGAUCAGAUUAGGAAACUGCUAGCUGCUCACCUCAUCAGGCACAGUCAAAGCCCUUAUGCAGCUCCUAUUAUACUAGUGAGGAAGAAAGAUAGCUCAAUGAGGCUAUGCACUGAUUUUAGGAAACUUAAUUCUUUAACAAUUAAGAACAAGUUUCCUAUACCAGUGAUAGAAGAUCUCUUGGAUGAAUUGCAUGGGGCUCAAUAUUUUUUCUAA